CUAAGGAGACUGCCGGUGACAAACCGGAGGAAGGUGGGGAUGACGUCAAGUCAUCACUGGCCCUUACGGCCUGGGCUACACACGUGCUACAAUGAUCGGUACAAAGGGUUGCCAAGCCGCGAGGUGGAGCUAAUCCCAUAAAACCGAUCGUAGUCCGGAUCGCAGUCUGCAACUCGACUGCGUGAAGUCGGAAUCGCUAGUAAUCGUGAAAUCAGAAUGUCACGGUGAAUACGUUCCCGGGCCUU
rnacentral:rRNA from 1 species